GCCAAUGAGAGAAGAGGGCGCGGCGAAGGUGAUGCCGCACGUAAAGAUUCCGGACUGCCAAGCUCAUGCCACGCCCAGAGACUUCGGAAUUCUCAACAAUGCAAAGGCGUCAUGCUGGCCAAACACAAUGAGUCUGCAGGCUGAAAUAGGUCAGGAGCUGCCAGUUUGCAAAUUCCAAAGAAAGGACGAGGAAGUCAGUUAGGGGCAAGCCCAGAAACCGAACGACACUGACAAGCACAGAGGCAAGGGAGAGCAGAUUCACAAAAAUAACUCAUCGCUGAGGUGAACUCCCGAUGCUGAAGUCCUGAGGUAGUAAUGUGUCUGGUUAAAAAUGGAAGUUCUGGUGUACGGUAUGGAAGAUUCGGAAAAUUGCAAUUUUGCAAACAUCAUGGUAAAGAUUGAUUUGGACAAGAAUCAUCAGAGAAUGCUAAAUCUAGGCAAGAAAGUUUGUUGAAGAGCAGAAUAUUUCUGUGGUCUUAAAGUAUUUUUCCACUAAUCACAAAUUGAUAACAAGAAGGAAAAUAGUAACUAUACAGUGGGAAAACCAGACAAUAUCCUGACCAGAUAAUCAAGAUUGACAUAACCAAUGAAGAGCAAGUGGACAUCAUGUGGUCUCCAGAUGUGACCGUCAGAAGGACACAACAUUGCUUACGUGGUAUUCCCACUGGAAAUGCAUAACUCAAAUCAAAUCUUGAGAAAAUAUCAGACAAACAAAAAUUAAGAAACAAGCUAUGAAAUAACUGACCCGUACUUUUCAAACAUGUCAGUGUCAUGAAAGAUAAUGAAAAGCUGAUGAACUGUUUCAGAUUAAAGGAGACUAAAGAGACACAACAAUUAAACACAAUAUGUGACCCUGGACAAGAUCCUGGACUGGAGGAAAACAAAAUGCCAUAAAGGACAUUAUUGAGACACUUGACUAAAUUGGUAAAGAAAUUUCAGAGAGAGAAUGGACAGGACCUGACUGUUGACUGUUUUCUUCUUUCUAUCCCCAAAACCACUGUCUUAGUCUUUUGCAUUUCUCUCCUUAGUGUAUUUCUAGAGCUUUCCAAGUGAUAGUGCGAAGUCCAUUGUCUUUCUCUUCCAGUCUGUCCUCCAUAUGAUCACUACUGUGACUUUUUGAUCUGAUCAUGCCCUACUCCUAAUUAGAAAACAUUUUUGGCUCGCUACUGCUCAAUCCUAGUCCGGCAAACCAGAAGUAGCUUCAGAAUUCCUUUUAUUUGUCUGUCUGUCUGUCUGUCUGUGUGUUUGUUUGUUUUGAGACAGGGUCUUGCUCUGUUGCCCAGGCUAGAAUGCAGUGGUGUGAUCAUGACUCACUGCAGCCUAAACUUCCUGGGCUCAAACAAUCCUCCCACCUUAGCCUCCCAAGUAGCUGGGCUCAUAGGCAUGCACCACCGUGCCCAGCUAAUUAAAAAAAAAAUUGUAGAGAUAGGGGUCUCACUGUGUUGCCCAGGCUGGUCUUCAACUCCUGGGCUCAAGAGAUCCUCCCACCUCAGCCUCCCAGAGUGCUGGGAUUACAGGCAUGAGCCACCACACUGAGUCUCAGAGUUCUUUAGUGGCCACUUCCCUCCUGCAUUCACAUCCCAAAUUGCUCUAGUUAUUGAUCGGUCCCUCCACCCUCAGUAGUUGUGACAUAACACCCAGUGUGACAUCACAAGGACAGGGAUGAAUGAAAGAUGAAGGAUGGAAUGAAAUAAGCCAGGAAGGCUUGAUGCAGGGCAGCAGGGCGAUCUUGGAAGCUCCAUAUUGAAGAUGGUGGAGCCACAGUUUGAAAGGAGUCUGGGUUGGAGGAGAGCUACAGGCAGAUCAGGAACACCCAUAUUGGAUUUGACCUGAGUGAAAAAUAAACUGCAAUCAUUAUGUUAAAACA